AUCUACCAGGACCAGCGCCUCCCUCUCUCUCUCAUUUGGCCUCAUCUCUAUUCUCUUCAUAAACACAAAUGAAAUCGAAGAUCCAUCGAAAAAAUCAAUCAAUAACAUCAGCUCUUCUCUAUUCUCUUCAUCAACACCAGCUGAAAACGAAGAUUCAUCAGCUCUUCUCGAUGCUCAUCAUUAACAAAAUCCAUCAGCAGAUCAGUUUUUGAGGAUUUGUUGUGAAUCGAUGAAGAACAGUCAAUGAGGAGCACCAACAAUAUUCGAGAGUAAUUGUAUGUUGUCUAAAGCAAUUAGUAAUUGUACCGAAACUCAAGAUUAUAUCUCUUCGUUGGUAUGUUGUUGGUAAGGGAAACCCUAAUUUUGUUUUUGCUUUGAUUGAUGCUGGUGUGAAUUUUAGGGAUUUAUCAAAUGGGAUUUUUUUUUUUUGAGAUUGAUGGUUCAAUUGAUUGUUGUUUGCAGUUGUUAAUUCCAGAAAUUUGUAUGAAUGGGUGUGUAUACUUAGCUCACCAAUGGAUUUACUUAUAAUGGUAUAGAAGUUGAUUAAUCUAAAUACCAAACCUGCAGUUUGAGAUAACACUAUUAUAUGCUCAUACAGCUGAUGGAAUCGUUUCUUGGCGAGGUUAGAGAGGAGUUCGAACAUCGCUUGGCGACCCAGAAUGAACCAAUAAGCUUCUAUUUGCUUUGUUAGUAAUAAAGAAACAAGAGAUUUCUAGUAAUAAAGAAACAUAAGUAUUGUGGAUUGUUUGGCAGGUGGUGGUGGUGGAUACCAAGGAGGAGGAGAUCAGGGAGGGUGUCUUGGUGAUGGAUAUCAAGGUGGGGGGAUCAAAAAGAAACAAGAGAUUUCUUAGUAACAAAGUAACAUGUUUGGCAUAUGGUGGUGGUGGAUACUAAGGAGGAGGAGAUUGGGAAGGGUAUCUUGGUGGGGGAGAUCAUGGAGGUAGUGGUAGCGGAAGAGAUGGUGAUUGGAUGUGCCCUAAUUCAAGGUAUUUUUCCAUGUACUGAACACGGAGGAUAUGGAAGAUGUUUGCGGAUAUACCAGCCAUUUGAUCAGGAUCCAUUGAUAAUUUGUUUCUAAAUCAUCCUGAUUUUGUGCAUUAAACGGAUGACAUCUGCUGAAUCAUCUAGAACGACACUUGUGUCUCAUUUAAAAGAGGCUCUCCAGGGGCAGGAAUUUGAGCUGGAACAAGUACGCAUUCUGCUUCAGUUGUGUUUUUCUAAGAGUUUGGAGAAUGAGCAUACUUGGAAGUGUACAAGGAACUUAAAGCAUGGCAACUUGAAGGCUGUACGUGUGGGGAGUGAUGCUUAGAUGUCUUUGAGGGUAAACUGCGAUAAUGUGCAACUGAGCAAAAGUGAAUAAAGAAGACACUUCGUUUAAGUUUGUGGUAUUAUGUGGUUGAAUGAUUAAGAGCUUGUGUGGUGUCCGUUAAAGAAAAACACAACAUUUGUUGUUGUUUAUUGAUGGUAGCUUAUAGCCUAUGUAGGGCUAUGCUAAAUCUAUAUCUAUCUAGUGAACCUCAUAAGUUAUUCAAAAAACACAAUAACUUAUGUUCAAAUGUAGUGCAGUUGUAUUCUCAUAAGCAAAUGAAUCUAUAGAUGUCUACCGAA